rnacentral:rRNA from 1 species
GAUGAACGCUGACAGAAUGCUUAAUACAUCAGCAAUUGAUUGGUGGCGGACGGGUGAGUAACGCGUAAAGCACUUGCCUCACAGCUAGUGACAAUAUUAGGAAACGAAAGCUAAUACCCAAUUCAGUGAGAGAGCUGUGCGUCCCAUUAGCUAGUAGGAGAGGUAACGGCGCACCAAGGCGAUGAUGGGUAGCCAGCCUGAGAGGUUGAUAGGGCACAGGGGGACUGGGACACGACCCUUAGUCAUACGGGAGGCAGGGGUGGAAGAUAUUGGACGAUAGACCGAAGUCUGAAGCAGCAAUUCGGGGUGCACGAUGAAGUUUUCGGAAUGUAAAGUGCGUUCAGUAGGGAAGCGGUACCAACAGAAGAAGUGACGGCUAAAUACGUGCCAGCAGCCGCGGUAAUUC